GAUGAACGCUGGCGGCGUGCUUAACACAUGCAAGUCGAACGGAAAGGCUCCUGCUUGCAGGGGUACUCGAGUGGCGAACGGGUGAGUAACACGUGGGUGAUCUGCCCUGCACUUCGGGAUAAGCCUGGGAAACUGGGUCUAAUACCGGAUAGGACGAUGGUUUGGAUGCCAUUGUGGAAAGUUUUUUCGGUGUGGGAUGAGCUCGCGGCCUAUCAGCUUGUUGGUGGGGUAAUGGCCUACCAAGGCGUCGACGGGUAGCCGGCCUGAGAGGGUGUACGGCCACAUUGGGACUGGGAUACGGCCCAGACUCCUACGGGAGGCAGCAGUGGGAAAUAUUGAACAAUGGGCGAAAGCCGGAUGCAGCGACGCCGGGUGGGGGAUGACGGCCUUCGGGUUGUAAACUCCUUUCGCUAGGGACGAAGCGCAAGUGACGGUACCUGGAGAAGAAGCACCGGCUAACUACGUG
rnacentral:rRNA from 1 species